rnacentral:rRNA from 1 species
AAACGCCGACUAAUCCCCGAUGGGAUACGAUGCUUCAUUGCAUGUAGUGAAAGUUACGGCGGCGACGGAUUGGCUCGCGUCCGAUUAGCUUGUUGGCGGGGUAACGGCCCACCAAGGCUACGAUCGGUAGGGGUUCUGAGAGGAAGGCCCCCCACAAUGGGACUGAGACACGGCCCAUACUCCUACGGGAGGCAGCAGUGAGGAAUAUUGGUCAAUGGGCGGAAGCCUGAACCAGCCAUGCCGCGUGCGGGAAGGAGGCCCUAUGGGCUGUGAACCGCUUUUGCCUGGGGGCAAUAAGGGCGUCGCGCACGUCCGAUGAGAGUACCAGGCGAAUAAGCAUCGGCUAACUCCGUGCCAGCAGCCGCGGUAAUACGGGGGAUGCGAGCGUUAUCCGGAUUCAUUGGGUUUAAAGGGUGCGUAGGCUGUGCGUCAAGUCGGGGGUGAAAUUCCGGUGCUCAACACCGGGGCUGCCCUUGAUACUGUCGCGCUGGAGUGCGGAUGCCGCCGGAGGAAUGAGUGGUGUAGCGGUGAAAUGCUUAGAUAUCACUCAGAACACCGAUUGCGAAGGCAUCUGGCGAAUCCGUAACUGACGCUGAGGCACGAAAGCGUGGGGAUAGAACAGGAUUAGAUACCCUGGUAUUCCACGCCGUAAACGAUGAUGGCUAACCGCCGGCGACACACUGUCGGUGGCCAAGCGAAAGCGAUAAGCCAUCCACCUGGGGAGUA